CCGGCGGUGGGACAAUGCCAGGCGGGGAGUUUGACUGGGGCGGUCGCCUCCGAAAGGGUAUCGGAGGCGCCCAAAGGUUCCCUCAGAAUGGACGGAAACCAUUCGAAGAGUGCAAAGGCAGAAGGGAGCUUGACUGCGACACCGACGGGUGGAGCAGGUACGAAAGUAGGGCUUAGUGAUCCGGUGGUAUUAAGUGGGAAUGCCAUCGCUCAACGGAUAAAAGCUACCCUGGGGAUAACAGGCUUAUCACUCCCAAGAGUUCACAUCGACGGAGUGGUUUGGCACCUCGAUGUCGGCUCAUCGCAUCCUGGGGCUGUAGUAGGUCCCAAGGGUUGGGCUGUUCGCCCAUUAAAGCGGUACGCGAGCUGGGUUCAGAACGUCGUGAGACAGUUCGGUCCCUAUCCGGCGUGGGCGUAGGAUAUCUGAGAGGAGCUGUCCUUAGUACGAGAGGACCGGGAUGGACGGACCGCUGGUGGACCGGUUGGCUUGCCAAAGCCAUGGCCGGGUAGCCAAGUCCGGAAGGGAUAAACGCUGAAGGCAUCUAAGCGUGAAGCCCCCCUCAAGAUGAGAUAUCCCAUUCUUAGUGAAGUAAACCCCCUUGAAGACGACGAGGUAGAUAGGGCAGAGGUGGAAGUGUGGUAACACAUGGAGCUGACUGUUACUAAUCGGGUGAGGGCUUGACCAA
rnacentral:rRNA from 1 species